rnacentral:rRNA from 1 species
CCUACGGGGGGCUGCAGUAGGGAAUUUUCCACAAUGGGCGAAAGCCUGAUGGAGCAACGCCGCGUGCAGGAUGAAACCCCUAGGGGCGUAAACUGCUUUUAUAUGUGAAGAUUUUGACGGUAGCAUAUGAAUAAGGAUCGGCUAACUCCGUGCCAGCAGCCGCGGUCAUACGGAGGAUCCAAGCGUUAUCCGGAAUUACUGGGCGUAAAGAGUUGCGUAGGUGGCUUAGUAAGUAGACAGUGAAAUUGUACGGCUCAACCGUAUGCACAUUGUCUAAACUGCUAGGCUAGAAUAUGAGAGAGGUAGCUGGAAUUCCUUGUGUAGGAGUGGAAUCCGUAGAUAUAAGGAGGAACACCGAUGGCGUAGGCAGGCUACUGGCUUAUUAUUGACACUAAGGCACGAAAGCGUGGGGAGCGAACAGGAUUAGAUACCCUUGUAGUC